rnacentral:rRNA from 1 species
AACGAACGCUGGCGGCAUGCCUAACACAUGCAAGUCGAACGAAGGCUUCGGCCUUAGUGGCGCACGGGUGCGUAACGCGUGGGAAUCUGCCCCUCGGUUCGGAAUAACAGUUAGAAAUGACUGCUAAUACCGGAUGAUGACUUCGGUCCAAAGAUUUAUCGCCGAGGGAUGAGCCCGCGUAAGAUUAGGUAGUUGGUGGGGUAAAGGCCUACCAAGCCGACGAUCUUUAGCUGGUCUGAGAGGAUGAUCAGCCACACUGGGACUGAGACACGGCCCAGACUCCUACGGGAGGCAGCAGUGGGGAAUAUUGGACAAUGGGCGAAAGCCUGAUCCAGCAAUGCCGCGUGAGUGAUGAAGGCCUUAGGGUUGUAAAGCUCUUUUACCAGGGAUGAUAAUGACAGUACCUGGAGAAUAAGCUCCGGCUAACUCCGUGCCAGCAGCAGCCGCAG